AUUUUUUUGGACCACCGCGGGGCAUUUUUAUCUACAGAGUUGUGUCAGCGAUUUCUGAGGUAAGAGGCA
rnacentral:lncRNA from 1 species